rnacentral:rRNA from 1 species
CCUACGGGGGGCAGCAGUGAGGAAUAUUGGUCAAUGGACGAGAGUCUGAACCAGCCAAGUAGCGUGAAGGAUGACUGCCCUAUGGGUUGUAAACUUCUUUUAUAUGGGAAUAAAAUGUUCCACGUGUGGGAUUUUGUAUGUACCAUAUGAAUAAGGAUCGGCUAACUCCGUGCCAGCAGCCGCGGUAAUACGGAGGAUCCGAGCGUUAUCCGGAUUUAUUGGGUUUAAAGGGAGCGUAGGUGGAUUGUUAAGUCAGUUGUGAAAGUUUGCGGCUCAACCGUAAAAUUGCAGUUGAAACUGGCAGUCUUGAGUACAGUAGAGGUGGGUGGAAUUCGUGGUGUAGCGGUGAAAUGCUUAGAUAUCACGAAGAACUCCGAUUGCGAAGGCAGUUCACUGGACUGCAACUGACACUGAGGCUCGAAAGUGUGGGUAUCAAACAAGAUUAGAUACCCCUGUAGUC